rnacentral:rRNA from 2 species
GUCGAGCGAACAGACGAGGAGCUUGCUCCUCUGACGUUAGCGGCGGACGGGUGAGUAACACGUGGAUAACCUACCUAUAAGACUGGGAUAACUUCGGGAAACCGGAGCUAAUACCGGAUAAUAUAUUGAACCGCAUGGUUCAAUAGUGAAAGACGGUUUUGCUGUCACUUAUAGAUGGAUCCGCGCCGCAUUAGCUAGUUGGUAAGGUAACGGCUUACCAAGGCAACGAUGCGUAGCCGACCUGAGAGGGUGAUCGGCCACACUGGAACUGAGACACGGUCCAGACUCCUACGGGAGGCAGCAGUAGGGAAUCUUCCGCGAUGGGCGAAAGCCUGCCGGAGCAACGCCGCGUGAGUGAGGAAGGUCUUCGGAUCGUAAAAUUCUGUUAUUAGGGAAGAACAAAUGUGUAAUUAACUAUGCCCGCCUUGACGGUACUUAAUCAGAAAGCCACGGCUAACUACGUGCCAGCAGGCGGGGUAAUUACGUAGGUGGCAGGCGUAAUCCGGGAAUAAUUGGGCGUAAAGGGGCGCGUAGCGGUUUUUUUAGGUCUGAUGGAGAAACCCCACGCCUCA